GUACCCAGAUUUCAGACAGCCUAUUCCCUGUUAGCCCCCUGACCCGCAGGAGUGGACAGCAGUGAAGAUGGAGUCUCUGCAAAAGAAUAUGUGAAAGAUUAAGUACAAGUGGAUUUGAUACUUCCAUGCCUUUGUACAUGAAAAGGGAUAAUACUAACAGCAGAUUAGAGAAUCAGGAAUGCUCAGAGAUGCUGAGUGAGUCCCAGUCAUCCUCUGCAGCUUUUUCCACAUCAAAAACAGGUACUCAGGAUGCCCUCUGUUGCAUGGUGGAUGGUUGCUCUUCAAACUGUUGUGUGAUUAGGAAUGUCAAUGCAGAGGGCAGAUAUGCUGAAAUCAGGAAAGAUAUCUAAGAAGACAUUUGAGAGCUCCUCUACUUGUGGUAAGGAGAAGUUGUACAGCAUCUGCUUCAGCAAACAUACAUGAAUUAAGAAAAAUUCUAAUACAUGAGAAACUUUAAAAUAGCUUUUUUUUUCCAGUUUAGAAAAUAUAAUUGAUUCCCCAAACCAAAAAUAAAAGUGAAAUAUUUUUAAAGACCCUUACAAAAAUAACUUGUUUAUAUUUUCUUUCUUAGGAUCAUGAAUUAUAAGCAAGACAGAGUCAGUCUUAACUGUUAGUUUGACAAGAUGAAGUAGAAAAUAUAGUGAAAUGUGUAGGUGGUCAGACAAAAGGUAAAAUUUAGAAGCAGUGUUCUAAAGUGUUGAAGAAAGGAAAGUGAGCAAAAAUUUGCUCUGUUCUUCAGUUCUAAUGGAGCUUGGUUAAAACACAAGUGUGUCAGUUAAGUGGCUGUGUGAUAACACAUAAUUUAUGGAGGGCAAAAAGAUCUAUCUGUCUGUCAUAGUUAAUUGAAUCCAGGUUGCAAGGCUCUUGCCAUAGAGCCAAUAAUUCUGCAUAGACCAACUUCAGCUUUCUUCUCUAGAAAUUUACUGCUUCCUCUCCUCAUACAAAGGCUGAAGCUCCCUGAGGUGAGUGAUUUCUGCCAUACAAAUUCGCUCCUCUGCAUUUCAGAGUGUACAAGCUGAGGUAGGAAGGGAGUGCAGCACUUCUUUGGGGUGAUGAGGACUUGGAAGGCUUUUAGACAAGCUCAAUCGAUCCCUUUGAUCACUUCUUUAGUUUUGCCAAUAGGAUUAAGUGUUCCUAGUCAGAGCUCACAAUAAUAUCCCUGAGAAGAACUGAACAAUCUGGGCUGAGCAGGUCUCUUUCAAACAUAUCAGAGCUGGAAACCUCCUUGCACAGUGUCCUCCUAGUGAGAAACUUUUGCAUUAAACUUUGCAUAAAAUUUGUAAAGCCUGCAUCUUUGUUUUGUGUCAUUAGAAUAUCUGUAACAUUAAGGAACUAUGUACUGUAGUUAGAUUAGCACAAUGACUCCAUUUUUUGUGUAUUGACUUCUAGUUUGGUAAUAGGCCUGGAAAAAUAUUCAUCAGCCAAUGUGAUGUUCUACUCAUUUCCCCUUUAUUUCCCCACAUUUCUUCAAGGGUAUUAAGGAUUGAAUCUCAGAACUGGUAGAAACCUCUUUUCUUGCUGAAUCAUUUCCAGGAAUUCAAGCAUUGACUUUAAGUAGCACCACCUAUUAACAAAGGAGGAUAUAUAAUGCACUUAAUGGAAAAGCUCCCAGUGGGUUCUUGGACCAGUUCUGUGUUUAAUUUCUGUCCUGAAGUUAAGUCUUUGAAAACUCUGAAAUCAGUUUACUGAACCUGAGCAGGUAAGCAAGCACAUUUCAUUCCCUUCUUUAUAAUUAGUUUACAGAUGCACAGAUUUGAAAACCUGAAAACACUUGGGUAUGUAGUGCAGGCCAUAACAUUUCACAAAGGUACUGGUGCAUGAAAGUUGUGCUUGUACACAGUAAUAUACAGCCACCAAAUAAUGCAAAAUUCCCUGGUGACUGGAUCCUCACUGACUGGAUAUUCAUUGAUGUAUUUCAAGGCUGAAACUUGUUCAUUUUACUUUACAGCAACAAAGUGUUGCAGUAUUUAUGAAAAGUUAAAAAUUUGUCAAUAUCCCUUACCCUGGAAUAUGUGUUGCAGUUCAAGAAGCCUUUAUAUAUGAAAAAGAUUUAACUCAUUAUUUGAUGAGUUUUAUUAACCCAAUGAGCUAUUUUGGCAAUAGGAAGGUUCUUAAGUGUGCUGGCCUAUUUGUUUUCACAGUUAAGGCAAAAGUUAUGCAAGGGUAUUUUGAAUGUGCCUGAAAGGUUUCCCUGUUACCUUUCUAUCAUGAAGAAGAACCAAUAAACAUUUGCUUUUGGCAUCGAACAUUCGACAGUUAUUCAUCUCAGGUGCAAGCUACUUUGUUUUGGUAGAGAUUUCAAGACCUUGAAAAUCAAGACAAGAUGGAUGGCACCUUUUCUCAAUACGGCUCUAUACAGAAACUUUGAUUAUUCUUUGAUCCAUAGCCAGAAACAGUACAUCAAACUAUGAAAUUAUUCCAAAUGAUUUUUUUUUUGAAUAGUACUGAAGUUUAGCAUACUCAGUCUGCUAUCACCGUUUCCCUCUUUCUGUUUUCUAACACCUAUUUUGCAUCCUGUACGUACCAAGUUUAUAAAUAGAAAUACACUUAUAAGAGGGCUGCUCUGAAAGUAAUGCCUCCUAUUUUAUUAUGUUGGUCCUCAAUAGCAGAAACAGAUAUUGGUGGUAUGGCACAUGGCGAUAAAGGCACUCACUGAUAUUCAUCAAUGCUUCCUGAAUAUUUCUGGAGACCAAAUAGUGGAUGUGAGCAUGUGAGCACAGUGAGGUGGUGAAAUAUUAUGAAAAGGUCACCUCUGCUGGUGCAGAUUUUUAUAAUUGUGGCAUGCGGACUCUAGUUCUCAGCUGGUGAAAAUGCAUAGCUAAGGGUGAUGACUGUGUUGAAAAAUAGUGUUUUUUUUAGCUGAGAAAUUGCUCUAUCAAAUAGUGUAUUUUGCUCUUUGUAUCUGUUGUCAUUUCCAUGGAAAUAAAUAAAUAAGAGGCAUUACUUUCAGAGCAACCUACAUAGGAAAAAUAUCCCUAUUAUACACUUCAUGCACAAUGCCAAAGAGGCAGUGCUAUUCUCAUUGUUAGAUAGCAUCAGCAAUCUCAACAGAUGUUUUAAUGAGAACAACUUCCAAUUUUCAAUUGCACCAGAAGAUGGCAAUAGUAAUUUCUAGUAAUCAAUAGUAAUAAUAAUUUCACUGAAGUCAGUGGGAGUUCAUGAGGAAAAGAGCAUUCAAGGUAGUUUCUUCUUCUUCUUUUUUUUUUUCCUAAUGUCUUGUAUUUCUACUUUUCAGCUUCAGUCAAAAGUUAAUAUAUGUCUUUAACUCAUACUUCAAUCAAAAAUUUGAUAUAUGUCUUUAACUCACACUUUUAACUCUCUCUCUCUCUCUCUCUAAUAUAUAUAUUAUAUAUUU
ensembl:lncRNA